rnacentral:rRNA from 1 species
CCCUUAGAUGUUCUGGGCCGCACGCGUGCUACACUGACCGGCGCAACAAGCUUUUUUCCUUGGCUCGACAGGCCUGGGUAAUCUUCGAACGCCGGUCGUGAUGGGGAUAGAUCCUUGCAAUUUUUGAUCUUCAACGAGGAAUUCCUAGUAAAUGCGAGUCAUCAUCUCGCGUUGAUUACGUCCCUGCCCUUUGUACACACCGCCCGUCGCACCUACCGAUUGAAUGGUCCGGUGAAAUCUCCGGACUGGCGUGAGUCGGAGCAAUCUGACAAACACCGGAAAGUUGAUUAAACCUUACCAUUUAGAGGAAGGUGAAGUCGUAACA